GAGAAGUCAAACAAAGUGACAUUAUCCUAUAUAUAAUCAAAUAUUCUAUAUUCAAAACUCGUAAUAAGCCCACGUCCUCAUAAUAUGGCGAGGUUGACAUAGUACCUACAUACAAAUUUCAUUCCAUUGGGCCUAUCAUAUAUAAAGAUAAAAAUUCAAUAAAACAAAAUUAAAAAAUAAACACCCUUUACAUAAAAACGUAGAAAUGAUUUGAUGAAACCUACUUUCAAAUACAAUUAACCUAACAGUCCUCCACUAUUCAUAACAAGGUGAAUGAAAUACUCUAGAUCAAUCUGAAGGCAAUGACGGAAACAAUAAAAAAAAAAAAAAAAAAAAACGAAGUACUUAUAAAGAAAUGUUUUUAAGAGUCUUUAUUGUACUUAUCUACAAAUAAAAAUAGUAGGUUAAAUUAAUGCACUGUACUUUCUUUGAAUAUGCUGACAUCGAUGAAAUUUAUAAUGAGAUAGGAUAUUUAAUCAAUAUUUUGCACAUAUUAAAAAAAAAAAAUUAAGUAUACAGUAGCGAUAGCGGUCACCAAACUAAGCUUGGUCUGUAUCUUGAGGUACCAUUGGUAUCUAAGUAUUUUCUAGUUUUAAUUAUGCCGACACUGAAAAGGCUGUUAAUUAAAGGUAGCUAUAAGCACCUACUUGUAUUUACCUCUACAUAUUUUUAUUUUAUUUAAUCCUUUAUUGCACAAAUAUAAAAAUAAGUGUACAAAGGGUGGACUUAAUGCUACAAGCAUUUUCUACCAGUCAACCCACAGGAGGUGUUUUUACCUACUUAUAUGUGUUUACCUACUUGCUGAAUGCUUGAUUGUAAAUUCUUAUCAUGGCAUGCUAAUUAUUACCAUGCACCAUGUAAUAUGCACAAAUAUUGUCAUGUUAUGUAAUGAUACUCUCAAAUAUUUAUACUCUUGAUUUUGCAACUCAUAUGCAUACUAACUCUAAUUAUAUUAUAUUCAUUUGAUAGAAAACUUAAUACUUAAGAUACGGUCAAUUUAAAAUAAUUAAUAUAAAAUUCCACGAAACUUUAACUAAUUAUAAUACAAUCAUGUUACAAUAUAAUAGGAAUGCCAUUACAUCAACUAAUUUAUAUAUGAAUAAUUCAUAAUUAAUUCGUGGCAACUGUAACACUUAACUUUUAUCCGUGUCUCAAGCAAUUAAAAACUUGUAAUUGGCUAUCAUUAUUUCAAAAUUCUUAUAAUAAAUUAUUCGUUAAUUUUCCUGUAAAUAGAUAAAGGUAAUAAGAACUAUUUAUGAUAAAAGUACAUAAUAUAAUAUUAUACCUUACUUAACUAGGUUCAUUAUUAAGCUGUGGAUGUAACUUAUUACUUGCGACUAAUAUGCAAUUUAUUUCUCACUUUUCUAUUCUAAUUCCUGUUCUUGUUUUAGGAUAGGAAUAUUUACAUAUUGUAUGAUGAAUAUGAUGAUGAUAAAGAAAACGAUGAUUUAAAUAUGAAGAUAUAAUUGGAAUAAUCAUAAAAUGAGAAUAUGCAUAUAAAAAUCUACAUAAUGAGAAUGGCUGAGGGUCAGCAUUGAUCUAUUAAAUCAAGAUCGUUAAAACACUUUAAUAUAAUUACAAAGAAAAGGCCGAUUUAAUAUGGAGACACAAGAAUAUAAGACAUAAAAUGAAAGGAUUGGAAUACCUACAUUACGAGAAUAUGGAAAGAAAAUACUUACAUUUUAUACACAUAAUACAAGAAUGUAUUGGAAAUAUUGGAAUAUUAAGAGAAUGGCUGUCUAAAGCUCUAUUAAAUCAAGAUGGUUAACACACUUUAAUAAAAUUACAAAGAAAAUGUUGAUUUAAUAUGAAGACACAAGAAUAUUAGAAUUAAAAUAUAAUAAUUUGAAUACAUUAUGAGAACAUGGAAAGAAACUUACAUUUUAUAUACAUAUAUUAUGAGAAUGGCUGUCUGAACAGUAUUGUCCUAAUAAAUCAAAAUGUUUAACACACUGUUGUUAUUAUAAUAAAUGAUGAUUUAAAUAUAAAAAUACAAGAAUAUUAUAUAUAAAAUAGAAGAAUUGGAAUAUAUUUUGAUACUAAGAUACCUGCAUUAUAAAUAUAUUAUGAGAAUGGAUGACCGAACAGUAUUGUUCCGAUAAAUGAAGUUGAAUGGUAUGCUGAAGUGCAAGCGGUGCUCACACAAGGAUGUGAUUGGUAUGCCGAAGCACAAGCGGUACUCACUGAAUGAUAAUACACACACUUUAAUAUUGUUAUAAUAAAAGGUGAAUGGUAUGCCGAAGUGCAAGCGGUGCUCACACAGGGUUGUGAAUGGUAUGCCGAAGCACAAGCGGUGCUCACCUAAUGAUAAUUAGUAUAUAGUGGCUGGUAUGCCGAAGUGCAAGCGGUGCUCACACUGGGUUGUGAAUGGUAUGCCGAAGCACAAGCGGUACCCACUAUACUAUUUAUCUGAUAAAGAAUUCUGAGGAACAAUGAACAUACAGUGUAGCCGACCAAAAAUUCACCUAGCAACGUUGCAGCGUAGCAGACCAGCGUCAGACCAGCAUUAAGUACAUCAAUAAGAACAGCCGGAAUAUGGUUUACUAAUUACUUAUAGUCUCUUUGAGUUUUGUUUUAAUUAUGAUUGCUAAGUGCAUUUAAUAUCACCGCAUAGAUAUAAUAACUUUAUUAAUUUUGCUAAUUCAUUCAGUUUGUUAACAUAAAUCUAGAACUUGUUAGUUAGCGUUCGAAUGGCCGACAGGGAAUGGGGACAUUCCCAAUAACAGGACGGCCGACUGUUAGCGUUUAAAUUUACCAAUGCUAUUCUUUACUAAUAUCAAGCUACUUAUUUCAUCAUAGGUCCGGCCGGAUUACUAGAUGUAGCUAGGAGUUGUUCUUUAGUUCAUUUAGUUUCUAUAUUGUCUGUGAUUCGCAUUGACUGGCCGGUCACUGGAUUCAUGCGGAUUCAUUCAAUUCAAGAUGGCAGAAAAAACAAGAAUAACUUUUAAAAGACUUCUGUUUGUUAUUAGAUUCCUUUUUGAAUAGUUUGUGUUCCUUAUAAAAGUAUUUUACUUCAAA